rnacentral:rRNA from 1 species
UACGUAGGGGGCAAGCGUUGUUCGGAAUUACUGGGCGUAAAGGGCGCGUAGGCGGCACGACAAGUCGGAAGUGAAAGCCCGGGGCUCAACCCCGGAAUGUCUUUCGAAACUGUCGAGCUAGAGUGCAGAAGAGGCAACUGGAAUUCCCAGUGUAGCGGUGAAAUGCGUAGAUAUUGGGAAGAACACCUGAGGCGAAGGCGGGUUGCUGGGCUGACACUGACGCUGAGGCGCGAAAGCCAGGGGAGCAAACGGG